GCUUUUGGUGGUCUUACUGUCUGUCUUGUUUCAUUCCAUAGCAAUGUAGAAUGCAUCUUAGGAUAUCUAACAUUCUGAAAGAACAAAGUUUGCUGCUAGCUAGAAAACGUUCUUUCCUCUCUUCAGAUUAGAGAUAAAAUGUGUGAUCAGAUCAGCGAUGCUGUCCUUGAUGCCCAUAUCAGAGUUGAUCCAGACGCUAAGGUUGCUUGUGCUCUACAGUAUGUGUGGCCAAAACAGGGAUGAUCUUGCUCUGUGGAGAGAUCACUUCCAAAGCUGUAGUGGAUUAUCAGCAAAUUGUGUGAGACCCCCUCAAGAGGAUAGGCUAUGAUGACUCUUCAAAAGGAUUAGGCUAUAAGACUUGUGCAGUGCUGGUAGCUCUAGAACAACAGUGUGAAGAAAUCAAACAUGCUGUCUCCCAUGGCAAGAGUGACGAUGAUGUUGGAGCUGGGAACCAGAGUGGGUUCUUGAUGAGAUGGAGUUAUUUCUUGGGAACCAGGCAAUGCUGUUGGUCAGAGAUUCCUGGAAGAAGGGAUUACACUGGUCGGCUGUUUGAUUUCAAGACUGGUGUAUGUGUUAAGAAGCAAGUGACACUACACUCAGACUCCAUGUCACAGAUGCCUGGUCCCAAGAACAGAAAAUGGA